ACCAUCCUUUUCUUGGGGUUGCGCUACUAUCCAAUGAACGUGUAGUGAGGGUAGUACUGCUAACGCCUUUAAAAAAAAAAAAAAAAGAAAUACAGACUUUUGAAGUUAGCUGAUUCUGUGAUACA